rnacentral:rRNA from 1 species
CGCGUGCGGGAUGAAGCCUUCGGGCUGUAAACCGCUUUCAGCAGGAACGAAAAUGACGGUACCUGCAGAAGAAGGAGCGGCCAACUACGUGCCAGCAGCCGCGGUGACACGUAGGCUCCAAGCGUUGUCCGGAUUUAUUGGGCGUAAAGAGCUCGUAGGCGGUUGAGUAAGUCGGGUGUGAAAACUCUGGGCUUAACCCGGAGACGCCAUCCGAUACUGCUCUGACUUGAGUUCAGGAGGGGAGUGGGGAAUUCCUAGUGUAGCGGUGAAAUGCGCAGAUAUUAGGAGGAACACCGGUGGCGAAGGCGCCACUCUGGACUGAAACUGACGCUGAGGAGCGAAAGCAUGGGUAGCAAACAGGAUUAGAUACCCUGGUAGUCCAUGCCGUAAACGGUGGGCACUAGGUGUGGGUUCCAACUAACGGGAUCCGCGCCGUCGCUAACGCAUUAAGUGCCCCGCCUGGGGAGUACGGUCGCAAGACUAAAACUCAAAGGAAUUGACGGGGGCCCGCACAAGCAGCGGAGCGUGUUGCUUAAUUCGAUGCUACGCGAAGAAACUUACCUGGGUAUGACAUGUUUGGAAAAGCCACAGAGAUGUGGUGUCCGGAAGGGCCAAACACAGGUGGUG